rnacentral:rRNA from 1 species
CUUUAACUGCACGAAAGUGUGAUAAGGGAAUCCUAAGUGCUCAUGCAUAGCAUGGGCUUUUGCCAAGUGUAAAUAGCUUGGCGAAUAAGUGGUGGGUAAGACUGGUGCCAGCAGCCGCGGUAACACCAGCGCCACGAGUGGGGACCAUAGUUAUUUGGCCUAAAGCGUCCGUAGCUGGUUUUGUAAAUCUUUUGUGAAAUUGUUAGGCCCAACCUAACAGCGAGCAAGAGACACUACAAGACUUGAGACCGGGAGGAGUAAGGAGUAUUUCUUGGGGACUGGUAAAAUGGGAUAAUCCAAGAAAGACUACCGGUGGCGAAGGCGCCUUACUAGAACGGUUCUGACAGUGAGGGACGAAGGCUAGGGGAGCGAACCGGAUUAGAUACGAUAAGUUUUCCAAAGUAAUUUCAGAAAUUAAUUCAUAAGUUCGUAAUAAUUUUACUUUAUGAGUUGAUUAGCAAUAAUGAAAACUUAAUCGCUAAUUACCCGAGUAGUCCUAGCAGUAAACGCUGCGAGUUAGGUGUUGCACAACUUACAUGGUUGUGCAGUAUCGUAGAGAAGUCGUUAAACUCGUCGCCUGGGAAGUAUGGUCGCAAGACUGAAUAGUAUAUGAAAUCUAACAUAAAUGAUGUCUAUACACAGUAGACUUAAAGGAAUUGGCGGGGGAGCACAAGCCGAAUUCCAC